AUUGAACGCUGGCGGCAGGCUUAACACAUGCAAGUCGAACGGUAACAUAAAGAAGCUUGCUUUUUUGAUGACGAGUGGCGGACGGGUGAGUAAUGCUUGGGAAUCUAGCUUAUGGAGGGGGAUAACUACGGGAAACUGUAGCUAAUACCGCGUAAUAUCGAAAGAUUAAAGUGUGGGACCUUCGGGCCACAUGCCAUAGGAUGAGCCCAAGUGGGAUUAGGUAGUUGGUGAGGUAAAGGCUCACCAAGCCGACGAUCUCUAGCUGGUCUGAGAGGAUGACCAGCCACACUGGGACUGAGACACGGCCCAGACUCCUACGGGAGGCAGCAGUGGGGGAAUAUUGCGCAAUGGGGGGCAACCCUGACGCAGCCAUGCCGCGUGAAUGAAGAAGGCCUUCGGGUUGUAAAGUUCUUUCGGUAGCGAGGAAGGCAUUUAGUUUAAUAAACUAGGUGAUUGACGUUAACUACAGAAGAAGCACCGGCUAACUCCGUGCC
rnacentral:rRNA from 1 species